ensembl:snoRNA
UUUCAAAGUGCCAAGUUUAGUUCAGGGCAGCUUCCCUGUUCUGUUAACUAAACUCUGGGACAUCGAAAUGGGAUAUGGAAGACUGGUUAGAAUAUAUUAUUUUAUUCAUUUGCCUCCCAGCUUAUAAAA